AGGACAGUAGAUCUCCAGGGUUGGAGACUUCUGCACUCGAGAAUUAUGAAUAUGUGUCGUUUUUGCCAUUUGCAACAGUCUCCGGCCUGUCGACCCUCAUCACCAUGUUGUUGGAGAAAAAGAGGGUUUAUGAACUAUACUGCAGCCAGCCACCAGAUGUCGAUCGAAAUAUUUUGGCUUCACUUUUCAGGACAUGUGCGAUGCACUUGGGUUGACAUCAGAAGCAGCAAACACACCGCACAGUGACUGUCACUAGUAGCUGAUUGCCCUUUCCAGCUGCACCUGUUUACCAGCUGAGACGGAAGCAGUAUAAAAGCUGAGCAGAACCCUCAGAAGAUGAAAACUUAUCUCCAGAGCAUGCCCUGUGUCCAGCCCAGCCCAGCUUAGUUUGUUUAAGCCUUUUGGAGCUUUGUAUGGUUGUUAUUGUGAGAUUUAUUUCUGUCUUUAUGUAAAGUGAGUUAAUUUUGUUAUUGUUAUUAGGAUUUGACGCACUGAUGUGCUUAGGUUUUGGAUGCACGGGUCAAGCAUGCACAGUGGAUGUGUGUGUGAUAAGCUGCAACGCAUGGUGUUCGUAACCGCAUGAGCGCUGACCAAUAAAAGUCAGAAAAAUUUCAUAUCUUCAUGUAUUGCCUGCAUUAUUCUCGUGGACCCAUUUACAAGAGACUGGAGAAUCCUUUGAUGGUUUACAGCCCCUCUUACAUUAUCUUCAUUAAUCUAAAGAACUGUUGACUAACUCUGUGUUUCUGCCAGAAGCUCUAGCUUUGUUGUGUUGAGCAAGAUAUUGCAAGAGCGGGUUAACAUUUAUCUUGUAUUUCCCUGUUACCAACUUCUUAAGCCAUUACUCUGUUGAUUGGUUAUUACACUUUUGGAAGCUGUAGGGAGGUG